rnacentral:rRNA from 1 species
GCUUAACACAUGCAAGUCGAACGAAGCCCUCGGGCUUAGUGGCGGACGGGUGAGUAACGCGUGAGAAUCUACCUUCGAGAUGGGGACAACCGUUGGAAACGACGGCUAAUCCCCAAUAAGCCGAAAGGUGAAAGGGUUUCCGCUCGCAGAGGAGCUCGCGUCCGAUUAGUUAGUUGGUGGGGUAAGAGCCUACCAAGGCAUGCGAUCGGUAGCUGGUCUGAGAGGAUGAGCAGCCACACUGGGACUGAGACACGGCCCAGACUCCUACGGGAGGCAGCAGUGGGGAAUUUUCCGCAAUGGGCGCAAGCCUGACGGAGCAACGCCGCGUGUGGGAAGAAGGCUCUUGGGCUGUCAACCACUUUUCUCAGGGAAGAAGUCCUGACGGUACCUGAGGAAUCAGCCUCGGCUAACUCCGUGCCAGCAGCCGCGGUAAUACGGAGGAGGCAAGCGUUAUCCGGAAUUAUUGGGCUGUAAAGCGUCCGCAGGGGGCACUUCAAGUCUGCUGUCAAAGGUCGGAGCUUAACUCCGGUUCGGCAGUGGAAACUGGAGUGCUAGAGGGCGACAGGGGUAGAGGGAAUUCCCAGUGUAUCGGUGAAAUGCGUAGAGAUUGGGAAGAACACCGGUGGCGAAAGCGCUCUACUGGGUCGCACCUGACCCUCAUGGACGAAAGCUAAGGUCGCGAAAGGGAUUAGAUACCCCUGUAGUCUUAGCCGUAAACGAUGGAUACUA